GGGGAUGUAGCUUAAUGGUAAAGCCUUAGUCUUCCAAACUAAUGACGCGAGUUCGAUUCUCGUCAUCCCCUCCA
rnacentral:tRNA from 4 species